rnacentral:lncRNA from 1 species
AAAUUGAUUUUCCCAUAUAAAUUUGUCAUUUGAUGUUAUAUUUAAGUGCUCAUUGAGCAAAAAUAGAUAUAUUUACUUCUGCAUCCAGUUCUUCAACAACAUAAGAGAUUUUUCAUUUAACGACUAAUUUAAAUCAUGUUCAAUUAAGUGAGUUAAAGAGAAAGGAUGAGAUUAAAAAAGGUUUUAUCACUUUUAGGUGGCAUCCCUCUAUGAUAUUUAAGAGGAAAGAAUUCCAAGUAGAGGGCCAUUAUUAAAAAUUGACUUACUACUACUACCAACCAUCACUACAACCUCCCUGCAAAUUUUCAUAUUGAUCUCUCUUUGUCCUUGAAUACUUCUAUCAACUAGGGACUUCAGGAUCAACAUUUACACUUAUAAAACUCUAUACCCUUGUUCACUAUUUUAGACCGGGAAAGAAUGGAGAAAGUACAUUAGCUUCCCAGGCUGUUGUAACAGAUUGCCACAAAAUGACUGGCUUUAAACAACAGUUUUGGAGGCCAGAAGUCUAAAAUCAAGGUGCAGCGGGGUCACAGUUCCUCUGGGCUGUAAGUGAGAAUUUCCCUUGCCUUUUCCAGGUUCUUGUGGCUCCAAGUGUCCCUUGGCUUUUGGCAGCAUAACUUCAAACUCAGCCUGCAUCUUUACAUGGCCUUCUCCUCUAUGUGCGUCUCUCUGUUCUCUCCUCUUCUUAUAAGAACACCAGUCAUUGGAUUUGGGGCUCACCAUACAUCCAAGAUGAUUUCAUCUUCAGAUCCUUGGCUAGGUGCAUCUGCAAAGACCCUGUUUCCCAAUAAUGUCACAUUCCGAAGUCCCAGGUAGACAUGAAAUUUUGGAGGACAUAAUUCAACAUACUAUGGAGAAUAACUUUAAUUUUCUGUAGUGAUAACUAUGGAAGGAUUAUUCCUGCUGCUUUAAGAACCAAAGAGAGGAAAGUAUUCUUUUGUUAAAUUGCAGAUUUCUCUUUGGUAUGGAUCUCUCUUUCACCAUGGUAAAAGUAAGACCUAGUACUGGGACUAGUGAUAGAGCUCUGAACAGGAAGACCUGUAACUCACAGAGUUAACAUGGCAGUAGGGUGGUAGUGUGUAUGUUUGAGAGGAGACAAUAAACAAAUUAACAAAUACAUAAGUAAGAUAUAUUUAGAAUGUGGUGUGGGCUGUAAAGGAAAUAUAACAGAAAAAAUAGGAAUGGCUUGAGGGUGGAGAUUGGUCAGAGGUGGCCUUUCUGUGGAAAUAAAACUAAGAGCAGGAUGAUAUGAAGCAGCCAAUAAAGGAAAGAUCUGGAGUACAAAAAAUUUGGUCUCUAUAUUAUUACAGAUAUUAAAUAUCAUUUCCUGUGCUAUACAGUAAGACCUUGUUUGAACCAUCCAUGUCUCCCAUUGGCAAAUCAUCUUUUCAAGGAGUAAUAUCAUCCCUUUUUCUCUUUUUCUGUAUAUCAAGGUUGUAAAUGAAAAUGUAGUAUCAAAUUGAAUAGAUUUAAUUUUUUAAAGUGUUAGUCUCAUAGUAGGUCAAGAUUUAACAUAGAACCUUUUUGGACUAUGUGGUUAUCUUUCCAUUUGAGUUGAGUAUAGGAAGUCUGUUCUUCUCAUCUCUACUUUAGUUCUGAAGCAGAAAUUUCUCCAAACGCUUCAUUCAAAAUUAAAUUGUUUAUCCAUAGACAAGGACGUGUGGUGGUAAAUUAUUGAAAUUGAUGAGAUUUGAUUGAAUUUUCCUGAGUUUAAUGUGUCUAAUCAACAUUGCACUCAUGGCAUUAUUAUUUUACUAUUGCUUGCUGCUGUAAUAGAUGACAGUGUUAUCAGGACCCAGGAUGAUACCAUACGAAAAAAUGUGCAAUGAAGUAUAUAUUCUAUUGUGAACAUUUGAAAGAUAGAACCUAAUAAUGUUUUCAGAAAUGGUUAAGUUUUUUAGAUGCAUGUGUUUAAAUUCUUUUCACUAUGAAACUAAAAGUGUCUCAGUAUAAUUUUUGAUAGAUAGGCUUGGUCUACAUUCUAAUUUAUAAACCAAACUAUGGUGUGAUUGGUAAGACAUCAUUGUUAGCAGUUAUACCAUUGAAUAUUACUGUGGAAAUUCCCAUAGUUCUGUCCUUAUCACAAUAAUGGAAACCAAAAAUGAAGGAAAGAACUAUUUUCUUUUUCAGAAAUACUGCAGUGCAUAAUUUUGACUAUGUAACUUACAUGACCAUACAAUUUGUCAUCCAACCAUGACUGGAAAGAUUUUGCUUUUAAAAACAACUAUCCAAGUGUUAAGAAUAUUAUGUCACAAUAGUAGAAGGCCAUUAUCAUACUGAAGCCUCAAAUACCACAAAUUUAAAAGUUACUGAAUACUGUUUAUAACUAGUAAGCAUGUAGUAUAAUGUUAGGGAAUAUCGCAAACUAUUAAAGAGUGUUCGUGAUAAUAUAUACCUGAAUUAUAAACCAAUUUUGACAUUUUGUUCUACUCAAGUUGUAUAUUUGAGAGCAUAUAUUAAAAGUAGAUUCAAGAGAACUCCCAGGUCAAUAGUAGAAGUUGGCAGUGAAGUACAUAAAGAAUACAUUUCUGAUUAGGCUCGUUUGACACGUUUCAGUACCUUUGCAGAACUACACUGUUGAGACCUAGAAGCACUACUUGUACAGUGAGUAUAGUAUUUAAGAUAAUAUUUAGUUUUUUUAUCUUAUUAAGAUGUUCAUCAUAUAGGCUGUUUCCUGUCAUCCUAACAAUAUGACCUCAGUCUGUCUGCAAAAUACCAAAUAGAAAUUUAUUCAUUGUGAUAGAAAUAGAUGCUCAAAAUAGAUGCUUAUAUUUAAGUCUCAAAAAUAUUUUCCCACUAUUCUGUAUUGAAUUAUUGACAUUAAAAUUACAAAUUGUUAGAACUAUAAGAAAAUUUACAUAUUAUCUUUUUUAGUGUAAUUCAGCUAUUUUACAGAAGAGGAGCUGGAAACACAGUGAAGUUGAAUAGGAUUAGACAAGUGCCCAGUGAGGAACUGAUUAUUCCUGUAUUCUUUACUUCCAUUUUCACCAUUUUUUUACUUCAUUUUUCAUCAUUUACCACUACACUGAGCAAUUUUUUUUACUAUUUUUAUUUUUAAAAUGCAUGCACAUGAUGAAAGUUUUCUAAAAUAAAAUGGUACACAAAGAUGUCCAAUGGAAAGUAUGUCUUUACCAACUUACAAUACUAUUACCAGAGAUAGACAGUUUCAAGUGUACAAAUGCAAAAAUAUAUCUGUAUUUUAAAAACGAGAGGGAAUCAUACCAUCCAAGUUUUCUUUGUGUUUUAUUUUGCUUUCUUUUUAAUACCGUAUCUUAGAAAUUUUGUAGAAUUUAUACUAUAUUAUAGAACAUCAUCUUUUUUAUAGUUUCCUAGUAUUUCCAUUUUAUGAGUAUAGCAAAAUGUAUUUAACCAUAGUCUAAUUUAUGGACACUUGGUUAUUUUCAAUUUCUUCUGUCUUCAAAACAUAUUACAAUAAACACCCUUCUAAAUAUAUCUUGUCCUUAUUUUAAUAUACACAUAGUAUAAUGUCUUAGAUAUAUUUGCAUAAUUAAAAUUUUAAUAACUUUAAAAAAAACUUUCUUUAAAAACAUUAUUCUAAUGUAUACUUCUAACAACACUGCAUGAGAAUUCCUGCUUUCUUGAAUAUACACCAAUACUUGGUUUUAAUAAUUAUUUUCUAGUUUGAAAAGUGAAAAUGAUAUUUUGUCAUUGUUUUGAUUUAUAUUUAUUUAUGAAUUGGACUAAAAACUAUUUUAAAAUUUUACUGUCCACUGUAUUUUUCUGUUAAGUGGCUGUUAAAACACUUUCUAUUUUUAUAUUUAUUUUUUGGUCACACCUGUGGUAUGUGAAAGUUGCCAGGUCUGGGCUUGACCCUGUGCCACAGCAGCAACCUCAGCCACUGCAGUGAUGCAGAUCCUUAAUUCUCUCCACCACAAGAGAACUCCUUUUCCAAUAUUUAUUUUUGUCUUCUAUUGUUUUGCAUGUGGAAAAUAACACUUUUUCUAUAGUAGGUUUUUAAAUAUUUCUCAAUUUUUAAUUUCCUUUUUCACUUUUGCUAUGGGCUUUUUAUGUAGGUACAUUUAUCAAGCAUUUCCUUUGUGCUGUAGAAAAUUCAUGUAAGAAGUUACCCAUAUUUUCUUCUAGUACAUUUGUGAUUUAGUCUCUUUUAUUAUUUACAUCUUUAAUUCAGCAAGAUUUUAUUUCGUACACUAUGUAUUUUUAAAGUUUAUUAACACAUUUGGGAGAAUUAAUCACUUGAAAAAUUCAUCACUUGAAAAAACACAGUCCCCCCCCACCCCGAAUUCCUUAGGAAGGCAGAGCUAAGCACUA